rnacentral:rRNA from 1 species
AAAGAGGAGGGGCGGCGGCGGGGGAGUAGAAUAGGGAGUAGGAGCUAGGGGAGGUGAUAGGGAGGAGGCGUGGGAGUGGCAGGGAUGCUACGGAGGAAGGAGGUGGAGGGGUGUACGUGGAAGAGAGAAGGGGCCUUAGAGGAUUCGAAGGAGGUGAGGUUACCGUGUGUAGGGGGUAGGGAGCAUGAUCCACAUCACCGUUGCUGUAGGACCCGCGCGCGUCUAAACCGUGCCUUGUCUUGGGGCUGCAGCCGGAACAGCUUGGCCUCGCCGGCACGCCACCAGCUGCUAGAUGACGCUGCCGACCUUCGUCGUCGUUUGGGAUCAGCGGUGACCAAUGGUCGCGCCGAGGGUGGACAGGACGACCGAAGGAGCUGCAGCACCGGAGCAUGAGGAGGCGCUGGGGGCAGAUCCAAGAAAACGGCCGAGGCUGAUUACGACACCAGCACCUAGGGACAUCUCCUUUCCAACGAGCGCAGGGAGAGAGACUACAUGCCUGCGUGCGCAGGGAAACCGACAGCCACCGUUCGUCGGUUGUAUCUCGUCGUGUCGUCCUUGCCGCCGGCACGUAGAUGGAGCUUGAGGUGGUUUGUGGUCGGUGGUAUCCAUUGACUCUAUCUUGUCUUCUGUCAACCCAAACCAAAUCUACCCAAUGAGGUGAACCUAUCCUUGUUACUAUGAUGACGCUUG